rnacentral:rRNA from 1 species
GAUGAACGCUGGCGGCGUGCCUAAUACAUGCAAGUCGAGCGAACAGACGAGGAGCUUGCUCCUCUGACGUUAGCGGCGGACGGGUGAGUAACACGUGUAUAACCUACCUAUAAGACUGGUAUAACUUCGGGAAACCGGAGCUAAUACCGGAUAAUAUAUUGAACCGCAUGGUUCAAUAGUGAAAGACGGUUGUGCUGUCACUUAUAGAUGGAUCCGCGCCGCAUUAGCUAGUUGGUAAGGUAACGGCUUACCAAGGCAACGAUGCGUAGCCGAACUGAGAGGGUGAUAGGCCACACUGGAACUGAGACACGGUCCAGAGUACUACGGGAGGCAGCAGUAGGGAAUCUUACGCAAUGGGCGAAAGCUUGACGGAGCAACGCCGCGUGAGUGAUGAAGGUCUUCGGAUCGUAAAACUCUGUUAUUAGGGAAGAACAAAUGUGUAAGUAACUAUGCACGUAUUGACGGUAACUAAUAAGAAAGCCACGGCUAACUACGUG